UCUCAGAGAUUAAGCCAUGCAUGUCUAAGUACAGACCUUUAAACGGUGAAACCGCGAAUGGCUCAUUAAAUCAGCUAUGGUUCCUUAGAUCGUACAUGCUACAUGGAUAACUGUAGUAAUUCUAGAGCUAAUACAUGCCACUAUGCCCUGACCCGAGAGGGGACGGGUGGAUUUAUUAGAACAGAACCAACCGGUCGUGGCUUCGGUCGCUUCCGUUUCUUUCUGUGAUGACUCUGGAUAACUUUACUGAUCGCAGUCGGCCUUGUGUCGGCGACGGAUCUUUCAAAUGGCUGCCCUAUCAAUUUUCGAUGGUAGGUGACCUGCCUACCAUGGUAAUAACGGGUAACGGGGAAUCAGGGUUCGAUUCCGGAGAGGGAGCCUGAGAAACGGCUACCACAUCCAAGGAAGGCAGCAGGCACGCAAAUUACCCAAUCCCGGUACGGGGAGGUAGUGACGAAAAAUACGGAUACGGGACUCAUUUUGAGGCUCCGUAAUUCGAAUGAGUACAAUUUAAAUCCUUUAACGAGGAUCAACUGGAGGGCAAGUCUGGUGCCAGCAGCCG
rnacentral:rRNA from 1 species